rnacentral:rRNA from 1 species
UACGUAGGGUGCAAGCGUUGUCCGGAAUUAUUGGGCGUAAAGAGCUUGUAGGCGGUUUGUCGCGUCUGCCGUGAAAAUCCGAGGCUCAACCUCGGACUUGCGGUGGGUACGGGCAGACUAGAGUGUGGUAGGGGAGACUGGAAUUCCUGGUGUAGCGGUGAAAUGCGCAGAUAUCAGGAGGAACACCUGUGGUGUAGACGGCUUACUGGACCAUGACUGACGCUGAGGCACGAAAGCGUGGGGAGCAAACAGG